AACGAACGCUGGCGGCAGGCCUAACACAUGCAAGUCGAACGAACCUUUCGGGGUUAGUGGCGGACGGGUGCGUAACACGUGGGAACGUGCCUUUAGGUUCGGAAUAACUCAGGGAAACUUGUGCUAAUACCGAAUGUGCCCUUCGGGGGAAAGAUUUAUCGCCUUUAGAGCGGCCCGCGUCUGAUUAGCUAGUUGGUUGAGGUAAUGGCUCACCAAGGCGACGAUCAGUAGCUGGUCUGAGAGGAUGAUCAGCCACAUUGGGACUGAGACACGGCCCAAACUCCUACGGGAGGCAGCAGUGGGGAAUCUUGCGCAAUGGGCGAAAGCCUGACGCAGCCAUGCCGCGUGAAUGAUGAAGGUCUUAGGAUUGUAAAAUUCUUUCACCGGGGACGAUAAUGACGGUACCCGGAGAAGAAGCCCCGGCUAACUUCGUG
rnacentral:rRNA from 1 species